UCCUUCCCGUAGCUCCGAAAAUGCAGCGCUUCUCAUUCCGACUCUAGGAAGAUCCAACAAUUUAAACAAACAAAAAUGGCCUUGCUUUUCAGCUUGAAAUGCAUAGCUCGGGCCAGCAGCAAGCUCUGUGCCUUGAAAAGCUCUUGUGUUUCCUUUGCUAAAUGCCUGGUUUAGGCAGAAGUAGCAUUUACCGAAUGCCACAUGAUCCAGGGUUUGGACGGAGGCUUGCCCUUAUUUCCAUCCUCCUUUGCAUCUGUUUGCAUACACCACAGCCACAAAACAGGGUGUUCUUGGGACAGUGGAUGUUUUGUCCAACAGAAGUCCAAGUUGGAGAAACUGUUUCCUCUGGCUGGCACGGGGUUUGCUUUUGUGUUUAAACGGGAACACACAAGGUAGAGGUGAAGUCUGUGCUCUGCGUCCUUGCACCCCUGCUGCUGGAGUUCAUCACUCGGCCUCUCAGGGAGGAAGGCGGCAAGGCCAGUUGUGAUCUUUGCAGGUGAUGAGGCACUGGGACCCCGGGGCCGCCGUUCAGUAAGGCGGCAUGAUCUGCACUGGGAGGAAAAGCAGAUGAUGUUCUAAAUGGGGACCAUGACAAGGAACAGAGAGAUCCUUAUUUUGUGGAGACUCCCUAUGGUUAUCAACUAGAUUUAGAUUUCCUCAAAUACGUGGAUGACAUACAGAAAGGAAACACCAUCAAGAAACUGAACAUCCAGAAGAGGCGGAAGCCAUCUGUGCCAUGUCCAGAAAGCAGGCCCCCACCUGGCCAGCAGGGUGUGUGGACUUCCACCGAAUCUCUGUCAUCUUCCAAUAGCGAUGACAACAGGCAGUGCCCUAGCUUCCUCCUAGCCAGAAGCCAAGUUACAUCGACUCCCGUCGCAAGGCUACCCACCCCUCUGGACAUCUCACCCACUUUCCUUACCAUCCCAGAAAGUCGACAGCUGCCACCACCCUCACCACAACUCCCGAAGCACAACCUUCAUGUCACCAAGACACUGAUGGAGACCCGGAGAAGGCUGGAGCAGGAGAGGGUCACCAUGCAGGCGAUGCCGGGUGACUUCCGAAGGCCCAGGCUGGCCAGUUUUGGAGGCAUGGGCUCCACAGGCUCUCUCUCCUCCUUCAUGGGUUCUGGAAACCACAUUCCUGUCAUGCACCAGCUUCAGAAUGGUUACCAAGGCAACGGGGAUUAUAGUGGCUAUGCCCCAGCUGCAGCCACCACCUCUUCCAUGGGGAGCUCUAUCCGCCACAGCCCCCUGAGCUCAGGGAUCUCCACUCCUGUGACCAACGUGAGCCCCGUGCACCUGCAGCACAUCCGGGAGCAGAUGGCCAUUGCCCUGAAGCGCCUGAAGGAGCUUGAGGAACAGGUACGAACAAUCCCUGUGCUCCAGGUAAAGAUCUCUGUGUUGCAAGAGGAGAAAAGGCAGUUGGCCUCAAAGCUGAAAAACCAAAGAGCUGCAUCCCAGAACGACAUCAGUGGUGUGAGGAAGCGGUCCUAUAGUGCUGGGAAUGCGUCCCAGCUGGAACGGCUCUCCAAGGGCCCGAGAAGUGGAGGGGAAUUAUACAUUGACUAUGAAGAGGAAGAGAUAGAGAGCGUAGAGCAGAGCACACAGAGGAUAAGAGAGUUCCGGCAGCUCACAGCAGACAUGCAGGCCCUGGAGCAGAAGAUCCAGAGCAGUAGCUAUGAGGCCCCCUCGGAGCUCAGGGAGAACGGGGAGUGUCGGCCUCGAGAGCAUCGGUCCGUGGCUGCGGGUGCCGACGAGAACAUGCAUGACAUUGUUGUGUACCACAGAGGCUCCAGGUCCUGGAAGGAUGCUGCUGUGGGGACAGUCACGGAGACGAGGGAUUCUGGGGUCAGUGUGACAGAGGCCAUGCUUGGGGUGACUACUGAAGCUGACAAAGAAAUUGAGCUGCAACAGCAGACCAUAGAAGCCUUAAAGGAAAAGAUCUACCGCCUGGAAGUACAGCUCAAAGAAACCACCCAUGACCGAGAGAUGACUAAGCUCAAGCAAGAGCUGCAGGCUGCUGGAUCGAGGAAAAAAAUCGAUAAAGCCAUGAUGGCCCAGCCGCUUGUCUUCAGCAAGAUGGUGGAGGCCGUCGUGCCGACGAGAGACCAGAUGGUUGGCCGUCACGUGGACGUCGUUGACUCGUGUGUUGGGACCUCUGUGCAAACAAGUAGCGUAGGCAUCUCCUGCCGGCCCCACUGUGAGAAUAAAGUCACGGGGCCGGAGCUGCCCAUGAAUUGGUGGAUUGUUAAAGAAAGGGUGGAAAUGCGUGACCAGUGCACUGGAAGGGCUGUGGAGACGCGCGAUAAGAGCGUGGGUGUGGAAAUCAGCGUCUGUGAAACAGGCAGCAACACGGAAGAAUCUGUAAACGACUUGAUGCUGCUCAAGACCAACCUGAAUCUCAAAGAAGUGCGAUCGAUCGGCUGUGGAGACUGUUCCAUCGAUGUGAUUGUCUGCCCGCCGAAGGAGUGCACCUCCCGGAGCGUGAGCACGGAGCCCGCGGGCCAGGCGGAAGCUGCUGUCAUGGCAGUGCCUCACACCACCAGCCAGCACACCAGCACGGCUUUGGAGCAACUGAACCAGUCCACCAACACCGAGACAGCCACCCUCGUCGAGUCCUGCACCAACACUUCCCUCAGCACUUUGGACAAGCAGACCAGCACCGGGACUGUGGAAACUCGGACUGUGGCUGUAGGAGAAGGCCGUGUCAGGGACAUUAACCCCUCCACCAAGACUCGGUCCAUCGGAGUUGGCACGGUGCUCUCUGGCAGUUCCGGGCUUGACCGGCCAUCAGCUGUGAAGACCAAAGAGUCCGGCGUGGGCCAGAUAAAUAUUAAUGACAACUACCUGGUGGGUCUCAAAAUGAGGACCAUCGCAUGUGGGCCUCCCCAGUUGACUGUGGGGCUGAUGGCCAGCAGGAGGAGCGUAGGUGUUGGGGAUGAGCCUGUGGGAGAGUUCUUGGAGGGCCCGCAGCCUCAGGCUCCUUCCGGAAUGAUGACCGGCUUGGAUCACUACAUUGAGCGCGUCCAGAAGCUGCUGGCGGAACAGCAGACGCUGCUGGCUGAGAACUAUAGUGAACUGGCGGAAGCUUUUGGGGAACCUCACUCGCAGAUUGGCUCUCUCAACUCGCAGCUCAUCAGCACCCUGUCAUCCAUCAAUUCUGUCAUGAAGUCUGCAAGCACCGAAGAGCUGAGGAACCCCGACUUCCCCAAAAUGAGUCUGGGUAAAGUCGCAGGAAGUAAUUUGGAAUACACCUGUAGGUGUGGAGGCCUACAGUCAGGAGGACCGUUAAAUACGCAGACAUCCCGACAUGGACAAGAGGUGGGGUUCACAGAAGGAGAGCCCGUCUGCAGCCAGGACACCUUCCCCGCUCAGGAAAGCACGCUGUCUGCAGUGAACCUGACAGAUGACCAGAUAGCUGCUGGCCUCUACGUAUGUGCAAGUAAUGAAAGUACGCUGAAGUCCAUCAUGAAGAAGAAAGAUGGCAACAGAGAUUCGAAUGGAGCGAAAAAGAAUCUCCAGUUUGUUGGCAUUAAUGGAGGGUAUGAGACAACUUCAAGUGAUGAUUCCAGCUCAGAGGAAAGCUCUUCUUCCGAGUCAGAGGAUGAGUGUGAUGUCAUUGAGUACCCUCCCGAGGAAGAGGAGGAGGACGAGGAGGACGAAGACACUCGGGGAACGGCGGCAGGGCACCAUGCAGUUGAUGUGGAAGGUUGCAGGUCCGCCAGGGUGGAAGAUGAAAUGCAGGUUCAAGAAUGUGAACCUGAGAAGGUGGAAAUCAGAGAGAGGUAUGAAUUAAGUGAAAAGAUGUUGUCCGCAUGCAACUUACUGAAAAAUAACAUAAAUGACCCCAAAGCUUUGACCAGCAAGGAUAUGCGGUUCUGCCUGAACACCCUGCAGCACGAGUGGUUCCGCGUGUCCAGCCAGAAGUCGGCGGUCCCGGCCAUGGUGGGGGACUACCUGGCGGCCUUCGCGGCCGUGUCCCCCGAGGUCCUGCGCCAUGUCAUCAACAUGGCAGACGGCAACGGCAACACGGCCCUGCACUACAGCGUGUCGCACUCCAACUUCGAGAUCGUCAAGCUGCUCCUGGACGCGGACGUGUGCAACGUGGAUCACCAGAACAAGGCGGGCUACACCCCCAUCAUGCUGGCAGCCCUGGCCGCCGUGGAAGCGGAGAAGGACAUGCGGGUGGUGGAAGAACUCUUCGGCUGUGGGGAUGUGAACGCCAAAGCUAGCCAGGAGGACAGACAGCCCUCAUGCUGGCGGUCAGCCAUGGGCGGAUAGACAUGGUGAAGGGCCUGCUGGCCUUCGGUGCUGACGUGAACAUCCAGGACGACGAGGGUUCCACCGCCCUGAUGUGUGCCAGCGAGCACGGGCACGUGGAGAUCGUCAAGCUGCUGCUGGCCCAGCCCGGCUGCAACGGCCAUCUGGAGGACAACGAUGGCAGCACCGCGCUUUCCAUCGCUCUGGAAGCAGGACACAAGGACAUCGCCGUCCUCCUCUAUGCCCACGUCAACUUCGCCAAAGCCCAGUCUCCGGGCACCCCUCGGCUUGGAAGGAAGACAUCUCCUGGUCCCACCCACCGAGGUUCUUUUGAUUGAUUUAUGUACAAAUAGCCAUCCAUUUACAUGCCACCAUUAAGCUGCUAACUGUUCCUGUUGGGGUGACAGAUACUGAAUGUAUGCAUAUUGUGCCUGAGCUCACCAGCAAACAGGACACAAAAGGCCAAGGACCGAAGGCUGGAGCUGUCACAGUGGAAGCUGAGCCAGCGAGAGAUUGCCGGCAGGCACCCACCACCUCCCUCCCGGCCAUCUUCCCUCUUUGGAGGGCACACUUGACCCCAGUCGCUGUCGCUGUUGAGUCUCUGCUCCGUUAUGAACAGUCGUAGGAAACUGUCACCUGACCUGAGCGGGCAACUUCUGCGCCUUCUCUCCACCCGCCCCCACCACCCCUGCUGAGAGUGUCAGGUUCUCACUGGCACAGUGUUUCCAAUUUCUCCUCCAGUGUUUAUAUUGACUGGCGUGGGACGAUUGGAAAGCUCUUCAGAAAUUCCAUUCCAGGAUGGUUUUGUUGAUUUUUUUUUUGUCUGUAUUAUUCUAAAGCAAGUUGAGGUGACUUUGGUCAUCAGCAACUUGGGCCUGGGCUGGUAGGUUUCUGGGUUAAAAUGAAAAGACGGAACUCUUAAAAAAGUAUAACACGUACAAAAGGAAAUCUUUUCAGUUGGUUUUAUCUCGGUGGAUGUAUUAUAUGACUUUUUAUAUAAAAGGUAUCUAUAUGAAAGUGACACAGUAUUUUCAACUUUUAUAUUCCAUGGUAAUAAAAGACAUGAAGAACUACAUGUAACAGUACCAUAUUUUUUUAUUAAUAAUUGCACAACUCUAUGACCUGAUGAUAAAGGUUGAAUUGUGUUAGAGGAAUUGGCUAUAUAUUCGCCUCUAGAGGAACAUGGCGUAGUUCUCCACGUAUUUAUGGAUUCCUUUAUACCAUGUCACACUUACCAUGGUCUUAUAUGUAUUUAAAUGUUUGAAGUGCCUUAGACUCUUGCCAUAUUUUCAAAAUAAAAUUUCAUUAAGCUCU